AGCCAGAGAGCAUGUGUUAUUAGCACACACUCAUACGCUCUGUGGUGUGUCCUGUCGCUGCUCGUGACUCAGCUGUCAGUCGGGCUUCUGUCUUUGUCACCGUCGGACUGCUUUCCACAGCCAAGAUGAUGGAUGAGGAGUCCACCAAACGGUACGUCUGGACCAGUGACGACGAGCUGCAGCAUAAACCGGCUCAGCGAGGGAGUAAAGUCCAGGAUGGUCUGGAGGAGAGAGAGAUCACCGUGCUGCCGCGGAGGACGACGGAUGACCCGGGUGACUCCGUUGGGGUGA